rnacentral:rRNA from 1 species
UGGGGAAUUUUGGACAAUGGGCGAAAGCCUGAUCCAGCAAUGCCGCGUGUGUGAAGAAGGCCUUCGGGUUGUAAAGCACUUUUGUCCGGAAAGAAAUCCUUGGCUCUAAUACAGUCGGGGGAUGACGGUACCGGAAGAAUAAGCACCGGCUAACUACGUGCCAGCAGCCGCGGUAAUACGUAGGGUGCAAGCGUUAAUCGGAAUUACUGGGCGUAAAGCGUGCGCAGGCGGUUUGCUAAGACCGAUGUGAAAUCCCCGGGCUCAACCUGGGAACUGCAUUGGUGACUGGCAGGCUAGAGUAUGGCAGAGGGGGGUAGAAUUCCACGUGUAGCAGUGAAAUGCGUAGAGAUGUGGAGGAAUACCGAUGGCGAAGGCAGCCCCCCUGGGCCAAUACUGACGCUCAUGCACGAAA